GGUGGUCAGGUAGAGAAUACCAAGGCGCUUGAGAGAACUCGGGUGAAGGAACUAGGCAAAAUGGUGCCGUAACUUCGGGAGAAGGCACGCUGACACGUAGGUGAAGUGAUUUACUCAUGGAGCUGAAGUCAGUCGAAGAUACCAGCUGGCUGCAACUGUUUAUUAAAAACACAGCACUGUGCAAACACGAAAGUGGACGUAUACGGUGUGACGCCUGCCCGGUGCCGGAAGGUUAAUUGAUGGGGUCAGCGCAAGCGAAGCUCCUGAUCGAAGCCCCGGUAAACGGCGGCCGUAACUAUAACGGUCCUAAGGUAGCGAAAUUCCUUGUCGGGUAAGUUCCGACCUGCACGAAUGGCGUAAUGAUGGCCAGGCUGUCUCCACCCGAGACUCAGUGAAAUUGAACUCGCUGUGAAGAUGCAGUGUACCCGCGGCAAGACGGAAAGACCCCGUGAACCUUUACUAUAGCUUGACACUGAACAUUGAGCCUUGAUGUGUAGGAUAGGUGGGAGGCUUUGAAGUGUGGACGCCAGUCUGCAUGGAGCCGGCCUUGAAAUACCACCCUUUAAUGUUUGAUGUUCUAACGUGGACCCGUGAUCCGGGUUGCGGACAGUGUCUGGUGGGUAGUUUGACUGGGGCGGUCUCCUCCUAAAGAGUAACGGAGGAGCACGAAGGUUGGCUAAUCCUGGUCGGACAUCAGGAGGUUAGUGCAAUGGCAUAAGCCAGCUUGACUGCGAGCGUGACGGCGCGAGCAGGUGCGAAAGCAGGUCAUAGUGAUCCGGUGGUUCUGAAUGGAAGGGCCAUCGCUCAACGGAUAAAAGGUACUCCGGGGAUAACAGGCUGAUACCGCCCAAGAGUUCAUAUCGACGGCGGUGUUUGGCACCUCGAUGUCGGCUCAUCACAUCCUGGGGCUGAAGUAGGUCCCAAGGGUAUGGCUGUUCGCCAUUUAAAGUGGUACGCGAGCUGGGUUUAGAACGUCGUGAGACAGUUCGGUCCCUAUCUGCCGUGGGCGCUGGAGAACUGAGGGGGGCUGCUCCUAGUACGAGAGGACCGGAGUGGACGCAUCACUGGUGUUCGGGUUGUCAUGCCAAUGGCACUGCCCGGUAGCUAAAUGCGGAAGAGAUAAGUGCUGAAAGCAUCUAAGCACGAAACUUGCCCCGAGAUGAGUUCUCCCUGAGACUUAGAGUCUCCUGAAGGAACGUUGAAGACGACGACGUUGAUAGGCCGGGUGUGUAAGCGCAGCGAUGCGUUGAGCUAACCGGUACUAAUGAACCGUGAGGCUUAACCUU
rnacentral:rRNA from 1 species